rnacentral:rRNA from 1 species
GACGAACGCUGGCGGCGUGCUUAGCACAUGCAAGUCGAACGAAAAGAGGGAAAGAGCUUGCUCUUUCCGGAAUUGAGUGGCAAACGGGUGAGUAACACGUAAACAACCUGCCUUCAGGAUGGGGACAACAGACGGAAACGACUGCUAAUACCGAAUAAGUUCCAAGGGCCGCAUGGCCCAUGGAAGAAAAGGUGGCCUCUACCUGUAAGCUAUCGCCUGAAGAGGGGUUUGCGUCUGAUUAGCUGGUUGGAGGGGUAACGGCCCACCAAGGCGACGAUCAGUAGCCGGUCUGAGAGGAUGAACGGCCACACUGGAACUGAGACACGGUCCAGACUCCUACGGGAGGCAGCAGUGGGGAAUCUUCCGCAAUGGGCGAAAGCCUGACGGAGCAACGCCGCGUGAGUGAUGACGGCCUUCGGGUUGUAAAACUCUGUGAUCCGGGACGAAAAGGCAGAGUGCGAAGAACAAACUGCAUUGACGGUACCGGAAAAGCAAGCCACGGCUAACUACGUG